UACGUAGGGUGCGAGCGUUAAUCGGAAUUACUGGGCGUAAAGCGUGCGCAGGCGGUUCGUUAAGUCAGAUGUGAAGCCCCGGGCUCAACCUGGGAACUGCAUUUGAAACUGGCGGGCUUGAGUGUGGCAGAGGGGGUGGAAUUCCGCGUGUAGCAGUGAAAUGCGUAGAGAUGCGGAGGAACACCGAUGGCGAAGGCAGCCCCCUGGGCCAACACUGACGCUCAGGCACGAAAGCGUGGGGAGCAAACAGG
rnacentral:rRNA from 1 species